rnacentral:lncRNA from 1 species
UUAGCUCUCAAACGAGUUCCCUCUAGAAAACACCUUGCUGCAAAAUUGAAGCUGCUAAAAUCGGAAUACUUGAAAUCGAUUGCUGCAAAAUCGAAAAGAGAGAAAUCGAAGCCAGAUUGAAAGGCCCAGAUCGUGGUUUCCUCUCUCCAAACAAAUUGUGUUUCCUCUCUCCAAUAUCAGACCCAAAUCACGAUUCACCCAUCUUGGGUAGAUAGGUUGAACAAAUCGGCACUCGGCAUCCCCUAUUUCAGAUUCAAGCUCAAAAAUCUAUUUCGGUGAUAAGAAGACUAAGAAUCGGUAUAUAUUUCAGUAAAACAUUCAUUAUCAUCCUUCACUAUGUGCUUUCUGCGAGAUUCUUUCCCUACCCAAUGUUGUCGAGGUCUGAAAUUUUUUUCCAUUAUGUAUUUUGGGCUUAUUUUGUGGUUUAUGUUUUGCUGAGCCAAUAACUUAUUUGUUAGCUCUAAGAAUUGGAAAUUUUGAUUAGUAUUAGGCUUUAUACUGGGUAUUCGGGCACUUAUUUUGGCUUUGCUUAGUUAUAAAUUUAUCAAAUUAGCUAAUUUGUUAGCUCUAACAAUUAGAAAUUUUAUACAAGUAUGGACAAACUAAGAAAAACAGAGUUGUUGAGUGACUGUCCUAGCUCUAACCUAACUGACAUUCCGCAUAAAAUUUUGAAAAUAAAUAAAGAUACAAUUUUUGUGAAAUUUGGGAAAGACCCUUAAGCUUUAUAGCUGGAUUUGCUUUAUCCCUCAUGAACUCUCUUAUUCCAUCUUCAUUACAGCAACUAACAAGGAAGUUUCUGUAGGUAGUUGAGCACAGUAGCCACCAUUAAUUAAUUUAAUUUUUUAGAAUUUUGUUAUCUUUAUGUAGUGUACAUGUGGUAGAAGGGAGAUAGGUACUAUUGAUUGUUUGGAAUGAAAGGAGUGCAACAGUUGGUUAGUUGAUGGUUUUUUUUUUCUUUUUCUUUUUCUCUGAAUUACAAAUACUUUUGUUUAUUUGCAGUAGCUGUUGAAUUAUGUAAAAUUUUAUUUAUGUAAAAUUUUAAGUAGGCGGAGGCUUUGAAGUUUCAAUUCCUUGAAGAAUGGAGUUUUUAUCUUGAUGUUGUAGUCCCUUUGAAUUAACUGGAUUUUGUUUAGUUGUACCUAGUUGAUUGUUUCAGAACUAACUUCUUAUAUGUGUAAUAGUUGGUGAACAUCACUAUUAAUUGGAGUGUACUAGUACAUAUGGAUAAUGAAACUUUUUUUUUUUUAAGUAUGGUAGGUGUUGCAUGUUGCUUGGACCAAAACAAUUUUCAAAGAUAUUUUCAUUGUUUCAUCUAAUUCAUGUUUACCCAAUUUCUAUAUUUGGUCUAAUAAGCACAAAUGGGGUAGUGUUGGUUGAUCUGAUAGACGCAUCUUUUUAUUUGGUGAAUAGGAAUGCUCCACUGGUUCAAAGAAGAUUUUGCUUAGUUUUGAAAAAAAAAAGGUUUUACUCUUGUGUCGUCCUUCAGUACACUGUGUCGAUCCUUCAACUAACUAAGAUUUGCAAGAAUAUAAAGAUUAUUACCUAAUUUUAUGUUUGAUCUAAUCAUGACAGUUUCUCUUUGAAGGCAACAAUGAUGAAGACUUCAACAACUACCCAAAGAGCUGACCAACUUACUCAAUAAACUCAAGGAAUUCAAGCACCUGUUGCAUCUCAAGCCACUCAAGGAAACCUAUUGCAUCUGAAAGCAUUCCACAGUUGAGAAAAUUCCCAAGUCUGGUUGAGAAAAAAAACAAUCUUCUGGUGUUUCCAUGAAUGCUCUUGGUUUGGUUGAAACAAGAAUGCUUUUGGUCUUAAUUAUUUGACCAAUUUUUGGUUUUAAGUAUGUAACACUGGUGCUUUUUGUUUACUUGCACAUGGAUGUUUUUGUUUUAGUUUCACAAGUUUCUUUUGGUUUUAGUUGAAGAGGGUUCUUUUGGUUUUACUUGCAUAAGGAUGCUUUAUAUAAACAGUUGUGCUUUUUGUUUGCUACCACUAAUAGUACAUUUAUGCUACCGCCAUC